AGACUCUACAGAUGGACAAAGGUGAGGCGGCCAAGAGGAGCAUCCGUGGAAACCAACACAGGGUGCCAGGGGAGGCAGGAUCCCAGGGCGUGUAGCAGCCAGGGACGGCCACCAUCUGCGUAGCCCCCGUCAUUCUGGCCUUCCUGCCAGAAUCAUGAGAAGAGAAAUUUAAUGACCACGUUUCCAUAGGGCAUAACUAUGUUCAAAGAUGCUUCAGAUAUAAUGUUGAAAUCCUACUGAGGACAGGAACAUGGAAUUAUACACCUUUGCUAAUCUAAUUGAACCCAGCAAGACUUUGUUUAUCCCAAGAGAGAAACUGACAGCUCUAUGAAAUUGCUCCACAUAGCUCAAAAUGAAGAGAGACUGGGGAAAUCAGCCACAAAGGUGUGGGUGGCAUUUAUGUUCAUCAUGGUGGGGUGAUGCGCAUCUACCCACAGCUGCAAAAAGACAAAAGUACAGAGGCAGGCCAAGGCCAUCGCCAUGACAUGUGUACAAUGGUCUGUUUAUUGACAGCACAUCUGAGGUCUCAACAGUUUUGCCAAAUGCUAAAUGUUGUCUUGGGUCAGGGUUCUAUGUCGUUCUAAAUGUUCUAUGUUGCCCAAGCUUCUCUACACAAAUACGUCAGAAACAGAAAAGUCUUAAAACAACAUUUUAUAAAGCAUUUCACAGUCGGGUGUAUUUUUGACAUAACUACACUUAGAAAGCCAAAUUAUAAACACACCAGGGCUGACUGUGAGAGAGAAGCUAAGACCAGG
rnacentral:lncRNA from 1 species